rnacentral:rRNA from 1 species
CCCUAUUAUUGAAUAGUUUUUGUUUUAUUUAAAUCUUGAUUAAAGGAAAAUUAUGGCAGUUCUUAUUUAUUCAUUUCAGGGGAAUAUGUUUCAUUAAAACGAUGAUACACGUGUAUCUUACUUAGUCUAAAAUUUUAUAUAUCGCUGUCUGAAGAUUUUUUUUUAGAAGGAGUCUAGAAGUUAUAAGGAAAAUAAGUCAAGUCAAGGUGUAGAUUAAGACUUAGUUGAAAUGUAUUACAAUUUUUUAUUAAAUUGGAUUUUUUUUUUAAAUUAGAAUGAAUUUGGACUUGAAAGUAAUUUAAUAGAGAUUAUAUUUAAUUGAAUAUGAUCUUAUGAGUGUACACAUCGCCC